AACGAACGCUGGCGGCGGGCUUAACACAUGCAAGUUGAACGGGAUUUGUGUGGUGCUUGCACCAUAUAAUGAGAGUAGCGCACUGGUGAGUAACACGUGGGAACGUACCUUUUGGUGGGGGACAACAUCUGGAAACGGAUGCUAAUACCGCAUAAGACCUGAGGGUGAAAGAUGGGCUCGCGUCUGAUUAGCUAGUUGGUGGGGUAACGGCCUACCAAGGCGACGAUCAGUAGCCGGACUGAGAGGUUGAACGGCCACAUUGGGACUGAGAUACGGCCCAG
rnacentral:rRNA from 1 species